rnacentral:rRNA from 1 species
GACGAACGCUGGCGGCGUGCUUAACACAUGCAAGUCGAACGGAAAGGCCCUGCUUUUGUUGUGUGCUCGAGUGGCGAACGGGUGAGUAACACGUGAGUAACCUGCCCUUGACUUUGGGAUAACUUCAGGAAACUGUGGCUAAUACCGGAUAGGAGCUCCUGCUGCAUGGUGUGUGUUGGAAAGUUUCGGCGGUUGGGGAUGGACUCGCGGCUUAUCAGAUUGUUGGUGGGGUAGUGGCUUACCAAGGCUUUGACGGGUAGCCGACCUGGGAGGGUGACCGGCCAAAUGGGGAAUGAGAGACAGCCGAAACGCAUACUGGAGGAAGCAUGGGAGAAUAUGGCACAAAGGGCGGAAGCCUGAAGAAGCAACGCCGAUUGCAAAAGGACGGCCUUCGGGUAGAAAACCGCUUUCACCUGAAACUAAACAUGAGGAACGUAAAUGAGCAAAGAAGCACCGGCAAACUACGG